ensembl:lncRNA
AUCAGAAAAAACAUUACGUUUUGUAAUUGCUGUUAGGAUAUAAAAUAAAACAUUCCUAUUGGCCCUAAACUGGCCCCUAAACAAGCGAGUUGCUUGUUGUGGAAAUUACCCAAAAGCUGGAACAGCAAACGCUGUUGUGUUUGGGUUCAUGACAUCAUCCGUCGCCACAGAUCAAGUCCAAGUGUUUCUGGAUAACUGCCGCUUCCAGCGCUACUUUAGGCUAACCAGCUGCCAGUUUGAUGACCCGUUGAAUUGGUGCCAGCGUCUCUCGGUUAGACACUAACUAACUUACAGGCGUUCAAUCUCAGCUGCAGAGCUGGUGAGCGGCAGUUUCAAGUGUAUUCUCGCUUGGGCUGCAAGAUAGCAAGAUUUUUUUUUCAACUUUGGUGAAAAAGCGGUUCAUACGCUUCCCUCCUUUCGCAUUUUUGCGUCCUCCGCGUCCGUUGAAAAUGUGCUUCCUCCGCAACCAUCCGCAUCUAUGCAUUGACUUUGCAUGUAAAAUAUUCAUGCAAAUAAUUUGCUUCCCUUUUGGUGUGAACACAGCAUAACUCUCAUCCUCAUGAAACCUGUGCCUGGUUGGCACCUUGGUCCAUGGGAAUUCUCUGCGGCAUGGUUGAGAGUGGGCAGGUGAGGAUAGACACAGAGAACAUCAAAGUAGCAGCAAUGUGGCCCACACCCUCCUGCAGAAAGCUGUUGAUGUGGGUAACGAGGAAAAUCUGGCGGUGAAUUUGACUCUCGAGGAGUGGAGACAUUGGCUGGAGGGAUCAGAAAUCUGUUUUAUCGUGUGAUGAUGAUCUUGCCUACAUCUAAGCGACUGAAUUACCGUCCCGUAGUAUUUUUUGGCCAUUUCAACUUUACCAUCACUUACAACAUCAAGCCGGAUGCUCUGUCCCGCGAGUUUGCCUUAAAGGAGUCCCCGAGUGGAUCGGAUAACAUUUUGUCCACACCUGCCCGUACUACCUCUUACCGACGGCUGGUCAUCGUUGGUCUCACAACGGCGUGGACUUUGUCAGCGGCCUCCCUCUUUCUGAUGGGAUGACCACAAUACUUUUAUGGACCGGUUCUCCAAGUCCGCCCAUUUCAUUGGCCUUCCCAAGCUUCCUUCAGCUUGCAAGACCACGGUUUUCUUGAUGAAUCAUGUCUUCCACCUUCAUGCAUAUUUGUUGGACAUUGUCUCAGACCGUGGCCGUCAGUUCAUCUCGCAAGUUUGCAAGUCGUUCUGCCACGCCCUUGAAGCUACAGUCAGCCUGUCGCCUCGUUUCCACCCACAGACUGAAGGACAGACUGAGAGAGCCAAUAAGGAUCUGGAGUCCGCCAUACUUAUAACUUUCUGGAAUACUCACUUAAGUUGGAUAGAGUAUGCACACUGCUCUCUCCCCUCCUCUGCCACUGGGGGUUUCUCCGUUUGAUGGAUCAUUAGGCUAUCAACCUCCACUGUUCCAAGAACAGAAAGAGGAGUUGGCUGUUAAACACCUGUCGCAACAUUUGGAGUGACACCAAGGCAGCACUGUUAAGGACAGCUGAAAGAAACAAUAGGAUUGCUGGAGAGGUUCUGGAAAUGAUUAAUAUCACUGUUGUUUGACCUAACCAUCCAUUUCAGGAAAAGCCUCAUAAAUCGUCCCCUUAGCGAACAGCGAAUCAGUAACCCCUUCAGGGGUGAAAUAUUGGGAUGACACUGUUGUCAUGGCUCCCUGGCUCUCGUCUUAAUAAAGAGGAAAAGCUAACUUGGAGCGGGUGCUGUUAAGACCUUUUUAUAGGAAAGUAUUUGGAAGUUAAUUGAGUGCUUCUGUGAAGACAUUAUGUGAAUUUAGCUGCUUCAGUAAAUCCCUCUCAUGCAGCACUUACUCCCUGUAGUUUAAAAUCAACAACCCAAAAAUUAUUUGCUGCUAAUUAACCUAGUAGGUCAGGUGAAAAGGUAUUAUCUACAGAAUUGAAUGUUGAGUUACUGCCAGCAAAUACAGUAGCGGAAGACAGCCCCCCCUUCUGACACGCACAUGCAGAGUACUUCCAUCAAUCUGCGAUAGAAGAGGUUAAUGGUGAGGGUUAGAUGUAAUGAUCUACGUCAGAUUAGUCUUCCCCGGAUGAUGCGGCUGGAGUUUUUCAGAAUAUUUUUGUGUCAGUAAUAUCCUUCAGGAUUUUGCAUGCAUACAUACCAAGCACAGUCAAGCAAUGAAUUACCAAAUACAAUACCAAAUUGAUCCAUUGCAUAAUGUGUUUGGUGUUAUACAUUUUGAAAGUCUUCUUAAACAACUCAUAAAUUAGCCUUGGCCUAUCAUUUUCCAUGUUAUCAAUGCAGUUUAUGGGGCUCUAGGGUUAAAGCCUCCAUGUAAAUUGUGAAUGAAUUGUAAAUCAAUAGCUGACAUCAUCCAACAUAUACUUAUAUUCCCUCUAUUGGUCUUAUUUGAAUGAAAAUGUAUGUGCAUAAAAAGAUCCCCAGUGGAUCCAUUGACAUUUUUUAGGGAGAACACAAGAUGGCAGCAUUAAGCAGUUUUUAAGAGAAGGAUCUUAGUGCUGCAUUUGCAGCUCAAGGCCACAGGUGGUCUGUUUGUAGUUGUGUCCCAAUUCCCUCGGCUGCAGCCUUGUAUGACCCAGCCUUCGCGGUAAACCUGGGCUGGGUCCUCCAACAACCGAAUAGGCUUAACCGAGUGGUCUCUGUAAUGGGACGGUUUGGACUUCCCGCUUGCGUCAUCAGCAUUACCUCCACUGCUCCUGUUGUGUAGCAACCUGCUGCACUUGACAGUAAAAGACUUAAAACCCACAAAACGUACAGUACAGAUAGAAAAUUUCUUCUUAUUUCAUUUAAUUUAGAAAGAUAUGCUUCAGCUCGGGAGCAUGAUAUAUUUGAGGCUGAGAGAAAAACAUUUUCCGGUUAUUUUAAAUUGAAAUUAAACAGUUAAGCCUGUACUUUGAGCUAAAAGUAAUAUUUUUUUUCUUGCACAGGAUGCAAGCUAUUUUAAAUGGAACUUUAAGAUAUUACAGAAUAUGUCCACGCUACAAUAGCUGAAUGUCACCACACACAUUGUUCUCUUCAGCUUGAUGCUGCUGCCUCCUGGCUACAUAUAACAAAUUUAUUUUCAAUGUUUGUAACAUUAAGGACUUAGAAAGUGAUAUUUCAGGUUCAUAACUUGUCUACUCAAGCUCACUUUGAUCCUUUUCUGUUCAUAAUAUGACGUAUAAACAAUAUAUAAAACUGUCACAGCCUCAGUAGGAUAUUAGUCAGCCUAUAACUUGAGGCCUUAAAGUGACUUUUCACUGAUAACUAGAGACGAGCUGCCGUUAACAGCACAACGGCUCCCGGUCACAUGAGCUGCUUGUUGUGUAUUAUAAAUGUGUUGGUACAUUGAUGUUCAAAAGAAGCAAGAAGCAACCCAAGUUUCAGGGUUCAGCUGAGGAGCGUAGUCUGGGUCAGGGGCUGUAUAGGGGGAAUGGGGAUAGGGACAGCAGGACACCUGUGAAUUCUAUUAAUUAACAUUACAUUUAAAAUUGAAGGAUAGAUCAGAUGUGUCCUCCAAAUCGGCUCCUGGCCGGUUGCGUCCCUGGAGCGCGGGGGGGCCGACGGAAUGGCACAGUGGAGUCGCAGCCGAAGUGACGUUUGCGUCUUAAGAAUGCAGCCUCGCGGAAUUAGGACAAAGCUACUGUUUUCACUUUGAUUCAUCAUCAAGCUCUUGUUCAGACCAGUAGGGGGCAGUAGUUAGCCACAUUUCCAGAGAGAUGAACAGCAAUAGUCUGGCGAUAACAACAUCCAAGGCACACAAAUAUAAUGAACAAUGUCUGACCUUCAACUGUUAAACUGAAAUGUCACAACGUGUGUCUCAGCAGUAAGGUUUAACUUUUGACUCCUGCUUAUUCAUUGGAUCCGAGAAUGCAGCCAUUCUUUAGGAGGACCUUGUGUUAGCCCCAGUUUUAUAAGACCAACAGUUGUGACACUGAGGUGUUUGGAAGCACUAUAGACUUCAAGCUGUUCAGUCUUUUUUGUAUUUGUCUCACCACUGAUCAGUACAGUACAGCUCAAUGGCUGGUAUGAUUGAUCUGGAACCACUAAAUGAGCCCCUCAGGAGAUGCCAGGACCGAUGAGCUCAGAUUAAACAGUCAAGGUGAAAAGUGGUUGACAAUAAAAGUAAUUGAUUUUGAAAUAUCACAGCAGUUUGUUAUAUUACUUUCUUUUUUGAAAAAAAAACAGUUUAGAAAAAUAGUUUCUAGAGACAAAAUAUUUUUCUAAAUCCCCUGGGUUGGUGAAUCAUGACUGACUGAUAGCCUGAUAAACAUCUGACUUCCCAGCAAUAACAGGGCGAACGUCAGACUGACCCCCACAGUUGAACAGAUAUUGUUUUUGAUGCAUAGUUCCAAGUUAUUACAACAUGGCACAGGCUGCAUCUCUGCGGUCUUUUUCCUUAGUUUAUGGGAAAUGUAUAACCAGAAACGCUAGGGAGAAAGAAAAAAACAGUAGGUUUUCUGUCACAUUUCUAUCAGGUAUGUGUUUGUACAGUACCGGUCAAAAGUUUGGAAGCACUUUCUCAUUAAAUUGAAUGAGAAAAUGUGUUCAAACUUUUAACUGGUACUGUACCUGUAAUUUAGUGAUUCAUAAUUUAUUAAACAAAAUGAUUUAGUUUGUCAUACACUUCUUUAUUGUCUGUGUCUGAGAGCUUUUAGAUGUUUUCAUAGUUUGCUGAAAGCUAUAAUGCUUCACAAAGCACACAGCUCUUUAAUAAAGUGAAUCAAGAUGUCAAAUAAUUGAUACGACAACCUCCCGAACCUGAAUAUCCCCCUGGAUACAGCAGAUUCCACUGAAAACAUUCUCCUAAUAGUGUAAGAAGUGAUCCCAAUAAUGUAGCUUCAUAUCCAUUAAAUAUUUUGUCCCAAGUGAUUGACUGUUUCUUUCCCAUGUUUACAUUUCAAAAUGGACAACCAUGUAAAGAAUAAUGUGUGUUUUUCAUGGAUUUAAUAUUAGCUAGAUUAAGUGUCUGCCAGUGCUGGCGGUCGCUGUGUUUUCAUAACCAGGAGAGAGGAGAGAAGUAGUAACUCUGCCUCUCUGUUUCUGUCUCCCUCACGGACACACACGCACAAACACACAAAGUCCAUCACUGCAGCCAGCGAGGUUACAUAAAAAAACUAUUCAUGCGGAUAGGCAUCCUAUCUGACAGGCAUGCUCGGAGUUAGCGGAAGGUCAGGUGGUGAAGGGGUUACUUUAAAAAGGUUUACUCAAACUCAUAUGGAACCACGCACACUCGUACAACCCUCUCUGUCGCAACUGAAAUAUUUAAUGGUUUGGUUUGGCUCCUGAGAUUUUGUGUCCACGCAAACUACACGAAAGAGCUUUCCAAGCUGUUUCUAUUUCCGGCUCUAGUUGCAGGUUACAUUAUUCUUAGUUUCUCUAUGAUGAUGUAGUAUAAUAGUAGUAAUACUACAUGAACACUUGACCUGAAGUGGUUGUAGUGAAAGGUGAUUGAAUCGGGGGUGGGGAGGGUUGCCCCAUGAUAGUCGAUAUGCUCCUUUCCAGAUACAUAUUCAAAAGUAGAUGAAACCCCCAAAUAUUUCUCUCUAUUCUAUGGCAAAACACCGGUCAGAUAUAGUGGAAAAGUUUUCAAGACCAUAUAUUGACUGAACCAAAAUAAAACUGAUGAGUAGAUGUAACAAGUUCAUUUACAGGGAGAUAUGCAAGGAGACAGACACAAGGAUAAGUAUACUUAUUGUCAUUGUAAAAAGACGAACAAAAAAAAAGUGUAAUUGGCGAAUCAUCAGUCAGUUCAGCGGUAACAAGGUAAAACUAAAUUACUGGUUUAAAUCAGGACAUUAAAUACAUAUAAAAGACAAUAAAUAAAAAUAUAACAGAUAAUACACAGGCAUCAAUGACUUUAAAGUGCCAAGAGUGCUUUGUUAAAUUCUGAGUGGGUGCGGGUCAAUACAAUACAGUAUAUACGACAGAAAAGCAAAUUAAUCACACAAAUUUGGGUAGUUACAUUCAUGCAGUAUGUGUCUGUGGGACUGCUUGUAACAGCUUUAACACAAUUUCAUGGAUGUCGAAAAGAAUAACACAGCAAUAACACCGACACACUUUGACAAACACGCACAUACACACACACACACACACACACGCACACACACCUGUUUCUAAUCUCUGUUGCUAUAGUUCGCAGUUAUCCACUCGUAGACAGUUAGAAUAUUGUUGACCCACAGAGGACACUCAAGUGAGUUAAAUGAAAACCUGACGGGUCGGUUGUGCGUCUGUGGAAACGCAGGCUCAAUGGGACAUUUUUAAAUAUUUUACCACUCAAAAUAAACUACUUGUAUUCUUUCCAAUGAAGAAUAAAUGUAGCCCAUCAUGACACAAUAAACAGUGGGAGCUACAAGAAUAUUUCAACUGUUAACACUAGUUGUUAUGACAGACUGAGGCCACUUGAAAGCUGAGCCAAAUUCAGACCUUCUCAGAGUUUUAUAUUUUAUAAGAAAAACAAUGAAUCUUGUGACUUCUUAAAAUGAGAUCAGGCUUACAGUGUAAAACAUUCAGCAGGCUUAACAACAAGAUGUUGCAACAAUAACAGUCUGGGUAAUUCAAAAGUGUGAGUCUGGAUCUCAGCAUUAGACCAUAAAUUAAAAAAUAUAUCAUUUUUGCUUUGUUGCGAAGAUAAAAGGCUAUUGGAGUGUAAAACACUUUGGUUACCCGUCGGGUUCUUUAUAGUGCAAUCACUUGUAGUGUAUAAAAGUUGUCUCCUCAACUUCUGUCACUCCUCUGUUUAUGUGUUUACAUACUGUAUAUAUUAAUUUCACGGUGUAGAGGUUUUUAAUUUUUAUGUUGUUUACAGUUAAAAUAAAGCAGUGUAGUUCAGGUACACAGUGCGCUGACUGUAUCACAGUCAUGUAAACCCACUUGUAAAAAACCAAUUCCUACAAAAAAUUAGUCAGCAUUUUUAUGUAAUAAUAUGACAGCAAGUGUCACACCUUAACAGAGAAUACCCUUUUUCUGCUAUUUGUCCCCUCUACAAGAAGACGAUGGUUUAAUGGUUUGACGAUGGUUUGAAGAAAGGCAUACAGGCACGGAGGUUUUUUUACCCAACUACCAGAACAAUAACACAACCUUUGAGCUAACAGAAUGCUCUGGCAAGUUGACAUCUAAACAUAUACUCCUAACACAUUUAUGAUUAAUAUUCACGACCCACAAACAGGGCAUUACCUGGUGGUGGCUGGAAUGCGUAGAAUUGCCCCAUAAGAAGAAGUUAACUUUUGGUUUAAGCAAUAACACUACAAAGAUAAACAGAUGUAUCAGAAUUAAAAUGACUUUGUAUUUCUUUCUCUCCUCUCUGACUCUCCCUGUGUAUCUCUCUCUCUCUCUUUUACUCACUUUCUUUCUCUCUUUGUCUCUCUUAGGGACAGACAUUCACACACUUGCACACACUAAGGUCACAAGUCAAAAGGGUUUGAAUGGCAGGAAGGGAGUGGGAUUGUUAAUACUGGACAAAACUAUAAUAUAUGGUGUGAACUACUUUCUGUGCCACCAAACUUUAUCUUCACAUCUAUCUCACACACACACCCACACACACACAUUGUGUGUGCCAGCAUCUUAUCUUUUUCAUCGACAGACCCGGGUAUAACUCCAUUACCUUCCUUCCCAAUUAUGGAGGAACUUGCUGUGUGUGUGAGUCUGUCUGUCUGUACGUGUGUGUGUGUUAGAGCCCCUAUUUCUGUCCCACCUCUACUUCCUGGAGAUUAAAACAAGAACAAACUAAAUAGAUGAAUGGAACUUAAUGUUGAAAAACGCAACAGAAAAGAGGCCACUUCUCUUAAUGUGAUUAUUUAUGGGGAUUUAUUUUUUCUUUCUGAAUGUCAAUAGAGGCUGUUCUACUGCAACCAUUCCAACGUGAUUUCCAAAACCUGUUCGUAAAAAUGUAUGCGAAAUAUUUGACAUAGAAAUUUGUAACAAUACAUACUAACUGGUUAACCACGCCCCUUGAGUGAACGUCUCUCCGCCAUGUUGGAUUCUCGAGUGUACGUCCCUCCGCCAUGUUGGAUUUUUUGAGGGGGUUAGGGUAAGUAUUGUAUUCUUACAAUUUAACAUUGAUUUCUUGUUAAAAAAUGCAAUCAUAACACGUUUAUUUUACAUCGUUAGACUUCACGAAGUGUGUUUACGGGGUGCAGGUCCCCAUUCACUUUGAAUAGGGUGACGUCAUCAGUUGCCAGUCCAUAUUUAUUUAGUAUGUAUCACUACGAAUUUGUAUCUUCAAGAUUUUCGUACAUUAUAUUUUUGUAUUUUUCCGAACAGGUUUUGGAGAUCAGGCUGACCAUUCAUACAAAGGUAGAUAGAGAAUUUUCUUCCACACAAAAGGUCUAUAAUAUCUACAGUAAUUUAAAUCAGUUGAACAGUCUGGACCUCCAGCAUCUGGAUAAGCUACGGCUGUUUUUCCAAAAUGUAUUGUUUUACUAAGACAUGUCAAUACUAUUGAGGAGAGAACUUCGAGAAAUCUCAAUAUUGGUCAGCUUGACAGGGCAGCUUUGAUUCUUUCGGGAGAGUGUCCCGAUUGAGAUCACAAUGUUGUUCUCAUUUAUUUAAAUGUAUUCAUUGUGCAUUGUUUUUUAAAAAGUACCAGGUUAACUUGCUAAGAACAGUGUUUCAUGAAUAAUGUUCCCUUGUGUUACUAUUAUUGUAGCAACCUGAGCUCCCGGUCAACAUCAGGACGGCAGAAAUUCAACAUACUGUAUAUGUUAUAUUCCAACUCUCGGCGUUGUCAUUCGCUCGCAUGACUUCUCCUACCACAGCUAUGCUGAUGACACCCAACUAACUCUUCCCUUCCCUCACUCGGAUCUCUGCCUGUCUGACUGACAUCUCUCAGUGGAUGUCCACUCACCAUCUGAAAAUCAACCCCGACAAGGCUGAACUACUUCUCUUUACGGGAAAAGAUUCUCCUACACAGUACCUGACAGAUAGAAGGAUUAAAGACACGUUAUGAGCUGGACAGUGAAUUUGUUUCUGUCAGAACACAGAACAAAGUAGCUUUAAGACAUACAUUAGAAAUGUGUUAGGGCCAUUGGCAGCUGGCCACAAAAAAAAAGAAAAAAUAUAUCAUUUUGUCAAUAUUUAUGUUUUUGAAAUAUGGAAUAUACCCAGUAAUAUUUGUAAAAUAAGAUAUCUGCGCCAAAAUAUAUGCUUUUCCUGCACGUCCUCUCUGCCUGUCUGCAUGGCUCAGAGGACAGAAUUUAUCAGGCCCUAAAAGAGGCAGGUCGAAGAAGCAGUUUAGCCAAUUACUGAUUAAAGAUAUAAAUGAGUGGCAUAUAAUUUAGCCAAUCAGCAUCCUGAAAUAGAGUCAGCCUUGGGCAAUCUUAGAAAACUACAAAAUAAAACCGGAAACAAACCCAAACCGUGACAGAUGUCCCCCACUCCCUUGCUAUUUGCUAUAGCUACAGUAAAAUGUAGCGUCCAUGUGUAUUUAUGUGGACCUGACAGUGGAACACACACCUUCUAAUAAUAAUAAUACAUUUAAUUUGUAAUGCACUUUAUAUUUAAGAAAAUCCCCAAGUGCUACAUGAUAAAACAGGUAAGUGCUAACAUUAAAAACACACGGAGAGUUUGAAAACAAAAACAAAACGAGUUCACUAAAAAGCUCUCCUAAAAGGGUGGGUUUUUAGGCCACGUUUAAAAGCAUCCAGUCUGUGGUUUCCUCAGGUGGUCAGGGAGAGCAUUCCACAGACUUGGAGCAGCUGAGCAGAAAGCCCGAUCUCCCAUUGUACUGAGCUUAGUCCUGGGAGGUUUUAAAAGAUAUGCUGAGGCAGAUCGGAGGGUACGUGUUGAGGUCUGUGGGGUGAGGAGUUCCUUGAGGUAGGGGAGGCGGGGGGGGGGGGCUUCACCAUGGAUGCACUGGUGAGACAGAGUGAGACAGAAAGCCAGUGGAGUGAUUUGAGGAUGGGGGUGAUGUGCUCAUGUUUGAGCACCCUCAACAGUAUCCUAGCAGCGCUGUUCUGUAUAUACUGCAAUUUCUGGAGGCUUUUCUCAGGGAUCCCGGUGAGGAGCGCAUUGCAAUAGUCCAGCCUGGAGGAGACAAAAGCGUGGACUAGCUUUUCCGCAUCUGCAGGAGCGAGUGUGGGACGGAGUUUGGCGAUGUUCCUGAGGUGGAAGAAGCAGGUCUUGCAGAGAUGUUUGAUGUGAGCCUCAAAGGUCAGAUGGAAGUCCAUUUUAACACCUAAGUUAGUGACUGAUGUUGAAAGUGGAAUAUUUUGGCCGGAGAAGGUGAUGCUGGUAAUGUCAGAUGACCGAACCUGGUGUGGAGUGCCGACUAAGAUGGCUUCAGUCUUGGAGCUGUUUAGCUGCAGAAAGUUUUGCUUCAUCCACGCCUUUAUCUCCUCCAGGCAGGUGGUCAGAGUGGAUGAUGGCAGGGCAGCAGAGGGGGUUGGGUUUGUCCUGAGGUAGAGUUGAGUGUCAUCAGCAUAGCAGUGGAAUGAAAUUCCAUGCCAGCUGAUGACAUGGCCAUGGGGGAGCAUGUAGAUAAUGAACAGGGUGGGGCCGAGCGCUGAGCCUUGAGGGACACCACAGGUGACAUUGUGUGUCGGGGAUUUAGCCUCUCCCAAGGCGACAUGCUCAGUUCUCCCGGUGAGGUAGGAUGAGAACCAUUGAUGGACGAGGUCAGAAAGACCGAUAGUGGAAUGUAGACGGUGGAGGAGGAUGUUGUGGUCCACAGUAUCGAAUGCUGCAGUCAAGUCCAGGAGGAUGAGAAGAGAUGGGGAGCCAGCGUCUGCAGUCAUCAGUAAGUCAUUUGUGACUCUGACCAGGGCUGUUUCUGUGCUGUGGCCAGGGCGGAAACCAGAUUGAAAUUUCUCGAACAGGUUGUUUUGUUUUAGAGGGUCCUGAAGCUGUGCGGCAACUACUUUUUCCAGCACCUUGGGAAGAAAUGGAAGGUUGGAGAUGGGCCUGUAGUUGGCAAAGACUUCUGGGUCUUGGGUGGGUUUUUUGAGAAAUAGCCUGAUGACAGCGGUCUUCAGUGUUGAUGGAACAUGGCCAGCCCGGAGAGAGUGGUUAAUGACCUUUGUAAUGAGGGGACUUAUGGCAAGGAGGUUGGAUUUUACCAGGGCUGUGGGGAAGGGGUCCAGUGCACAGGUGGAUGGUUUCAUCUUUUUGAUAUCCUCAACUUCUCGCUGUGAGAUGGCAAAAAAACAAGGUUGGGAAAUCCCAGGCUGUGGGUCAGCAGUCGGGACAGGCAGUGUGGAGAAACUGAAUAGCAGGGAGCGCCCUCCCUGUCCCGAUAUAUAUA